rnacentral:rRNA from 1 species
UACGUAGGGGGCUAGCGUUGUCCGGAUUUAUUGGGCGUAAAGAGCGUGUAGGCGGCCAAGUAGGUCCGGUGUGAAAACUCGAGGCUUAACCUCGAGAUGUCAUCGGAAACCAUUUGGCUAGAGUCCGGAAGAGGAAAGUGGAAUUCCUGGUGUAGCGGUGAAAUGCGUAGAUAUCGAGAGGAACACCUGCGGCGAAGGCGGGUAGCUGGGCCGACACUGACGCUGAGGCGCGAAAGCCAGGGGAGCGAACGGG